UACGUAGGGGGCAAGCGUUGUCCGGAUUUAUUGGGCGUAAAGAGCGUGUAGGCGGUUUGGUAGGUCCGUUGUGAAAACUCGAGGCUCAACCUCGAGACGCCGAUGGAAACCAUCAGACUAGAGUCCGGAAGAGGAGAGUGGAAUUCCUGGUGUAGCGGUGAAAUGCGCAGAUAUCAGGAAGAACACCAAUGGCGAAGGCAGCUCGCUGGGACGGUACUGACGCUGAGACGCGAAAGCGUGGGGAGCAAACAGG
rnacentral:rRNA from 1 species